rnacentral:misc_RNA from 1 species
CCUGCGACCUGACCUGAAUGGAGCUCUUUUUGCGGAACGUAGUGGAGCAAAAAAGCGGGAAUGGAGGGCGGAAAUAGUC